rnacentral:rRNA from 1 species
UACGUAGGGUGCGAGCGUUAAUCGGAAUUACUGGGCGUAAAGCGUGCGCAGGCGGUUUUGUAAGCCAGAUGUGAAAGCCCCGGGCUUAACCUGGGAAUGGCAUUUGGGACUGCAAGGCUUGAGUGCGGCAGAGGAGACUGGAAUUCCUGGUGUAGCAGUGAAAUGCGUAGAUAUCAGGAGGAAUACCGAUGGCGAAGGCAGGUCUCUGGGCUGACACGUGACGCUCAUGCACGAAAGCGUGGGGAGC